CUCAGUUCGGAUCGGAGUCUGCAACCCGACUCCGUGAAGCUGGAUUCGCUAGUAAUCGCGCAUCAGCCAUGGCGCGGUGAAUACGUUCCCGGGCCUUGUACACACCGCCCGUCAAGCCAUGGGAGCCGGGAGUGCCUGAAGGCCGUGACCGCAAGGAGCGGCCUAAGGUAAAACUGGUGACUGGGGCUAAGUCGUAACAAGGUACC
rnacentral:rRNA from 1 species